UUUUUUUUUUGUGAUUGUGGUUCAAUUAAUUAAUCUACUGUUAAAAGUAGUUAUUGGCUAACAUUGUUAACUGAUUUACAGUUUGCUUGUCUCAUAGGAAUGCUUGAGAUCUAUAGAUCAUUUUAUUUAGAAAUUGAUGUAUUUGUGCUUACCAGGUUUUUUUAACAAAUUAAACUUAUUUAUUAAUUAGAUUCUAAAAAAAUUAUACAAAUACAUAUACAACAAUGAAAACCAACAAAUAAAAUAACAAAAACAUGAAAGACCAUAAGUUUCUUGCGAAUUUGAAAUCUUUCUCGCAUUUUGAGUAUUAGUACUCUUUGUUGUAUUACAUUAGCCUCAUUCCAAUUUAGAUCUAUAAUAUUCUUCGGUUUACAAUUCAAUGUAUAGAUUCAACUGUAAGAAAUAAUGAUUGAAAUGACCAACUUUCAACGAUUGUAAGGAUAUAUGCAUACAACAAAGAUACUUUUAUAUUGUCGCUUCCUCGAUGAUGCAUUCCAUGAUUUCAAACAAAUAUUUUGAUACCAAAUAUAUUAGGGAAGUUUACUAAAAUGACACAAAUUUAUUGUGUUAUUACUAGAAUGACUCAUAUUUUUUGAAAGUUAUUAGAAUAUUUUUCUGGUCGAAAUUGCCCUUGCUCAUAGUUAUAACAAAAAAAAAAUUACCAAAGUACCCUUAGCAUUUGUCGGCGGCAGAUUUAUUUUUAAAUCUAUCGAGUAAUAAGUCUGUUUAUAAAAUCUAUUUAGAAAAAAAAAUCUACCGUUAAAGUGGUGUCAGACUUUCGUAGAAACGUCAGAUUUGUUUCCACGGCAGAGUUAAUUGUCCGAUUUGAAUAUAAAACAUAUUUUUUAUAAUAUGUCUGGCGAAUGAGGUAGCAGAUUUGUUAUAAAUGAUAAAUUUUUGUGGUCAACUUAUUUUCUUAUGAACCAAUUUAUUUUCUUACGUUCGACUUAUUUUCAUAUGGCAGAGUUAUAUAACCGACUUAAAAUAGUUGGUAGACAUUUUUUUAUGUGGUCGCAGACUUUUUAAUUUAUGUUGUGGCAGAUUUGUUGACGGAAAUAUGAGUUUAAGUAAACCACACUUAGUUUAAUGUUCAAUUUCGUCCCGGUUUAUAUUAUUUUCGAAUAUGGUUUAUUUUUAGGUUAAUUACAAUCAUAAUUAGAUAAAUUUUUGGUAAUUGUCGUCAUCUCUUUCAUCCAUCUUUUCUUCCUUAUCAAGUUGUCCCUUUUCAUGGUGGUUUAAUCACUUGUUUGCAAUCUUUAUUACUUGGAGAAAUAUGGAUCACAUUAUUUUCGUCUGCGGAAAGUGAAAAUUUGAAAGAAAGAAAUGGUUAUUUGAAGUGGAUAAUGAUCAAGAUAGUAAAUUACUUGCGGCCGAAGAAACUAGAUAUGAGGAUUUUCUAAAAUUCAUAUAUGAGGAUUUUCUAAAAAUCAUAUAUGAGAAUUAUGGAGUUGAUUUCUCAGAACACGAGUUGGAGCUUACGGUUUCUGUAAGCCUAGCUUGUUUUUUUAUUUUUCUUUCCUAUGAAGAUAACAGCUUUAAGAAGACUCUUACAGUUAUCUAUAAUCUAUCGAAUGCCAAGUCUUGACUUUGGUACAUACAUAAAUGAUUCUUUUUUGAAAACUUUCAACUAUCCUGAGUUUAGGGUUUCGAAGGAUGAAGUAUCUGACGAGUUUGGGUAUGAACAUUAAGGAAACAAAACACAAACCUUUCUUGGUAACACAAAUGUUUUGCAACAAAGAAUCAAGGAACAAAAACAGUGUCAUGUUCCUUAAUGGUAUCAAUACAAUCCCUAGCUUCCCUUCAAUUCUUUCACCCUUUCUUGGCUUAUAAGACACAGCAUACACGUCUGCUUCCAUUGAACGCUCAGCUAUGAGCCUACGGUAUAUUAGUCCUUAUAUUUCUUGCAUUUGUGGUGGCAACUGAAAUGACUUUUCUUGUUGGCCUAUGCAUCACUUUGGCAUGAAUGAACUUCAUGUAGAAGAAGACAUUGAGCAGGAAAGGACUCAUGUGCGUGUCUGUUCUUUGCUUCCAUGACUCCCUGUUGGGUCUUUUCGCUGCUUUACCGCGUGAUCUUCGAGUCCACGCAGCUUGUACACUCCUAAACAAUCCAUCAAAAAUGUAUCUUUAAGUUACUCAAGAGAUAAAGAAACAAGCUUUGAAGAGAAUAACUCUCAAGCAUCAAUGGCAGAUGCAUAUAAGUGUUUGUGACAAUAGAAUGUGAGACAGAGGCACAAACCAAGAAAGGCCACAUUUUUAUUCACAUCCAGGGCGACAUGCAAACAAGAACUGAGUGGUUAUGUACAGAACACAGUUGUUGUGUACAGAUAAGGCAAUAAGCUCAACAUACAAACAAAAACACACACUAAGCUACGAAAACAAGAACGGAAGAACAAUUACAUACAACAAGUAAAGGUGACUGUUUUACCUUAAUGAACAAGAAGCUCAAUAUACAGACAAAAACACACUCUAAGCUACAAAAACAGAAAAGCACUGGUGGUUGUGUACAGACAUAAAGGUUUACCUUGUUGACAAUAGGAGAUGAGAUAAUGAUGGAAUGAGUUGGCCGAGUCAGACUUGUGUCGAAGGGGACGAAUGAGCAAGUUAAUGAGACCAAGCAAGACAUCUUCAUCGAGCAGAUGGAGAAUGAGUGAGACAGUAAUUGAUCGGAUAAGUCUCCCUCGGAGACUCUCGAUUCACCCACGUCACGUGUUAAGUUUUUGCUUCUGCAAAAGUACAAAAUUCAAUUCCAUUUUUUUUUCCCUUUUUUCACACAAAAUUCAAUUCCAAUAUUUUCACCAAAACGCUAUACGAUGAUCAUUAGCUAAGCUCUCUAUUAAGAAAAAAUAGGAACCUUUGUUAACGUCAAAUCAAUAAAACCCAAAUUGAAAGGCUUUUGUUUUUUAGGAGAUAAUUAACCAGAUGACAAAAUUAAUUGGAUUACCAAAGAUUCAUGACUUACAGAUUCAAAGGUUAUCUUGUAAAGAGAUUUAGAGAUUUCCAAUGAUGAUUGUGUGGUUUACGAAUCGCUACAGAUGUAGUUGGAGAAGGUGAGGGAGGUGAUCGCAGACCUGAGGUAGAGAUGACGGAGAAAGUGCAGGCAGAGGUGGACGUGACGAAGAGGACGGAAAUUUAGGGUUAUCUAGGUGAAUCAAAAUAUGAUUGACAUGAAGCAUUUGUUUUCUCCCAUAUUGAGAAAAAGAGAAGUUCUAUUAAAAAAAAAAAGAAUUAGACAGGGUGUUUUGUGUAUAUUUGCUUGAUAGAUGUAUUGUUCUAGUAAUUACAAAAUUAUAAUAGUUAGCCUAGUAAUAACAUUAAUGAUUAGAGUCAUUACAAGUCAUUUCUCAAUAUAUUAUAUCAAAAUAUAAGUUCUGAAAAAAUUGGUUGGCUGACAUAAAAUUUAUUCCUCCUGUCUCUACAUAUUCUUCUUCAUAUUGAAUCGUUAUCUUUUGUAACAAAUCUGUGAAGAUUUUUUUGAAACUUUUGCAAGUCAUCACACUUUCAUGAUAACCACUGUAAACUAACACAAACUAACAAUACAUGUUAGAAUUGGCAAAGAUUUAGCAAAAAACGCUGGAAGAUAGCCGACAUAAUAAUCAGAGAUGAUGUUUCGAUAGAUGAAGGAAAAAUGUUAAAGAAACAUAGAUCCAUGCUUUUGUUUUGGUGAUACACUAAUAAUCUUUCUCUUUCUCUGAUAAUAUUCUGUGAAAUUAUAAAAUUCAAAAAAGAAAUUAAAGAAGGGACAGAGCCACCGACAGAUAUCGGUGACACUAAGAACAAUAAAUGGAUAAUGCACUUUGGUGUUGAUAUUGUUAAUCCAUGAUGUUCAAGCUAAUCUUGUGGUGAUUAACAAUUGGUACUUGAAUAAUUAUCGGAUUCAACUUAGGAUUGUGUACUCUGUUCUUUAGUCCAAGUUAGGGUUUAAGAAACGGUUCAGCUCGGGUAGGGAGUUGUUCUCGUUUCGAUGUGGUGAAAAAUACAGCGACGUCUCAGACCGGAUUGCGUAGGAUCCAAUUUAGUGUUCCUGGGUGUUAUUAGAUCUCGUUGUCUUUAUGUUGGGUAAUCGAUUUUGGUUGUAAUCCCUUGUUCAUCCCUUUGGUAAAUGAAAGUUGAUGUUUGAGCCAAAAAAAAAAAACAAUAAAUGGAUUUGAAAAGUGCAAAGAGGGUUGAUGAAAUCGUCGCUCCCGGAGAGAAAAGUGGUUUUCUUACCCUGUUAUGUAUUCAUUACAAACCUAAAAUCAAUUGUUUUAUUAUGAAUUUACAAUAUUUAAGUGUAAACUAUAAACAGUGAAAGAAAAUAUACAUUUAUUAAAACCGGAAAUUCAGAAUUUGUAUACUCAUGAAAGAAGAAAUGAAGACUCUUCCCUAAAGUUAAAAGAAAAAUACUUGAAAAUAUAGACAUUAUUUCAGGUUUAUGAUAUUAAUUUGAAUUUUUCGCUUUUUUAUUGUUUCUUUUUUCUUGCAUUGUACGUAUAAUUUUUAUAAAGGUUAAUUUGCUGUAUAACCAAAUUCUCAAUGAAAAUUAAGAAUAUUUCAAUGAUUUUGACAUAAUUAACUCACUAACAUUUAACACUCAUUUCAUCCCGGUUGUACUCUUAUCCUUUGUAAGUACCGAGCAUAAAAAGAGAGACUGAAUGACAUUGUAUGGACAAAAAUGAAACACAACUAUUUGCUAUCACCUGACGUAAUGCAACACACGUCAUCAGGAGCGGGCCCACUUGAAGAGGUGUGGGGUCACCUGACACCACAAAAAGCAAGAUAAAAAUAUGUUGUAUAUAGGAAAACAUUAAAAAACAUGUAGCAGAGUUGGUAAAAUAAGGUGCUUGACCCCACACAACCCGAGUUCGAUGCCCAGAAAAGACAUCUUUAUUCAUUUUUGACAAUAAACAAAAUCACUCCUGGGUCCGCCACUGCACGUCAUGUACUUAUUUACCGCAUAUUUAUGCAUUGUAGAGAGUAAAAUGGAUAAUAGUGAAUGGUGCUAUCUUAUAUAAGGAUUGACAUGAAUUCAUGCUAUAUGCGAUCAUAUUAAUUGUGUUUUGAACAACAUGGAAUGCACAACCGGAUGGUGUGAAUGUUUAUGAGUGUUCUCUUCCAUAUAACCGAAGUAGUAUAGUACUUCAACUCCACCCAACCUCUAAAUACUAAUCCCUAGCCCAACCCUUAAAUACUAAACCUCAAUUUCCAAUUACUAAAUCUAAACCCUACGCUAAAUCCUAAACCCAAAUAUAAUCUAUAUUAAAAUAGUUGAGUUUUUGCUCACUGCUCAGCGCGCCACGUCAGCGUUUUGUGGGUCCCACUUUUAAAAAGUGUGAAAAGGGUCAAGUCUAUGGUUCUAACCCGGGUUAUUGAGAUAUAAACAUCAACAUUUAUACCACUAAGUUAAAUGAUACUUUAUCCAUUGAUGGCCGAACCUAAUAUAUAUUUAUACCACUAAGCCAAAUGAUACUUUGUACAUUGAUGGCCGAACCUAAUAUAUAUUUAUGAAGGUCGGAAGCCUUUGCUUCUUCGGCUUCCUCUGAGGGUCGGGCCUACAAGUGUAUUAUGUGUUUCAUUUUUAAUUGAGAUUCAUCACGUUAUACGAAAAAAAAAAGCCCAAGUUUGCAAACAUACACACGGCUUCCUCUGAGGGUCGGGCCUAUAAGUGUAUUAUGUGUUUCAUUUUUAAUUGAGAUUCAUCACGUUAUACGAAAAAAAAAAGCCCAAGUUUGCAACAAUUAUAGUUUUCCCAUAAUGUAAAUUGUUGUCGUUUAACAUGAGUUUGAGUUCUUUUCAUCAUUGUUUCAAACAAGUCUGAGUUACAGAGCUGCGCCGUGUGUAUGUUCGUAAUCUAUUUUUUCACCAGUGAACUCUUCAUGUCCUCAUCUUAAAUCGCUUGACCAUAAAUGUUCCUGAUUUGUAGCCCCUCUAUAAACCCUAUAUAUAUAAUUCUCAUCUUUGAUGAACCCAAUCUGCAUCUCCACAAAACUCAUUGAUUCCUCUUAGCUUUAACCAUUGAUAUCACUCAAAUUACUCUAAGGAGUGAAUUACUCUCUCAAAUAAGAGGUUCAGAUGUAGUACUUAGGGAUCGAAUCCAAAGAGACUCUAGGCUUACACAAUAGAUUUAUAGUAUUCGAAUUAAGGCUAGAUUAGAUGAUUUAUAGGUUUUAAAGCAGUAAAUGAAUAGGUGAGAAAAAAAAUUGCUCGAUUGAUUUGAUUUGAGGUUGUUAACAGUUGGGAGAAUAGCUAGAUUCAGGUAUGUUCUGAGGUAUGAUAAAUAAUACUUAAGUUGGGUCUUUAGGGGUUUAUUGAUAUUAAUUGUUCUUGAAUUCAAACUAAGAUAUAAUCUAUUUGAUUGUCUAAUCGGGAUCUCGGAUUUCAACUCUCGUCUGUUAAUCACGAGAAAGUGUCGAUCGAUAAUUUGUUAUGAAUAUCGAUCGAUACACCUUUCAAAAUAUCGAUCGAAAGGGCUAUCGCUGCGUCGAUCGAUACUUCUUCCAAAAAGCUUUACGGACAUGUUUGAUUUAUAUUCUCUAACUCACUAGACCAACUCUCAUCUGUAUCUAGUCAGUUAGAUCAUACUAGCUAAUUUCAGGUAUUGAGUCAAGCAAUGACUUGAUCUCAAUUAAUCCUAUGAUCUAAGUUUAAAAGGUGAUCAAUCCUAAACUUAGCUUUAAGAACAACUAGAUGAAGAACUAUAUUUCCAAACACCCUAACAAUUGUUUGUGUCAGUAAUACAUUUAUCAACCUAUUGAGAAACCUAAACCUAACAACAAGGACUACUCAAACAUAUUCAAGAAACACAUAGCUAUGAUGGUUUGAAUAAUACUUAAAUAAAAUAAUAAAAGCAGGAUAGAGUAAAGUAACAAAGGGAGUUCAAGAUCUUCCCUCUCUCAAGGUGUACAAAUCUCUCUCUGCAAUCCUCAGCUCUCUCUCUCUCUCUCUAGAAUAGUAUGAAGCAUAGCCGUCAACAAUGGCUUAGAAAACAGUAAAAUAGGGUUUCAGGUCGUCCAGGGGUAUAUUGGUAAUAUGUGGUGACUUCUGGGCCUAAAUUGGUGACAAAACAGGCUUGUCCUGUUUUCUGUGAUCACUGUCGACCGACACCAAUAAUGCAAUAUCGAUCGACAGUCCUUCAUUUCCUCGACAGCUUCCUCUCGUGAGGCAAACUGACCACUCUUCAGUAAAACAAGCAUAACCUCUGCUACAGGAUGCUGAUUGACCUCAAACCGGUGGUGUUGGAAAGCUAACUCAAAGCUCUAUCUUGUGUCAAACGAUGGGCUCAAUCUAAUGGUGGUAAGGUUUCCAUCCAUAGCUAAACAUCUGAUGCGUCUGUGCAGUUCUGCACUUCAAAAGGCUCCAAAAUCACCAUAUUUCUCCAGAACGUACCUGAACCUGUAAAUACUCUAAAUAGACUCUAUAUAGUAUUAAAUAUAUAUUAAAACACUUAUAGACCAUGGCUAAAAGUGGAUAAAAUCCAUGGUCUAUCAACUCCCCCAGACUUACCCUUUUGCUUGUCCUCAAGCGGCAAGAGUUAGUUCCUAUCUUUUCUCUCUACUAAUUUUUCUCUUUAGUCAAAGUCUGCUUACUUUCUUUUUCUUUUUAUUUUUUUUCUUUUUUUUUUCUUUUUUUUAUAAUAAAUAUCUCUAUCUAUAAAUGUACGGUUAUAUAUAUUAUUUUAUUUUUUUCUUUCUUUUUCUUUUUAUUUUUUUUCUUUUUUUUUUCUUUUUUUUAUAAUAAAUAUCUCUAUCUAUAAAUGUACGGUCGGAAUACAGAGAGAAAAUAUGAUAAAUCUAUGAAAGACAUUACCUUCCCGACUUGUUUGAAGAAUCUGAUCCCAUGUAUACCAAGUCCCAAGACAAGCAAUUGUGUCAAGUUUAGUGUUGGAGGUCAGCUUUGGUUCAUUCAAACAAUCUCAGCAAGUGUGAAUAGUUGACAGGUUGAUCCACUUUAGUAUCUUUAGUACUAUCUGCAAUCAGUAAGUCUAGAAUGAUACUAAAGAGUGAUUAGAUAACAAGCAAAAAUCUAAUAAGUUCAUUAUCCCCUUCUUGACUCAAUAAAACUCUUUUGAAAACAUUUGAUAAGACUCAUGAACACACUAAUAUCAGUAAACAUCCUCCCAGACUUAAAUUACACUGUCCCCAGUGUAUAUCCAGUCGGAGUUAUGGUGAGAACUAAUCAUAAGUACACAAUUCAACAAAUUAGAACGAUAUACCUGCCCGGGUUAAGUGUCGAUCGAUAGAAAGGAGUUACCAUCGGUUGCCGCAGGUGAUGUACUGUCGAUCGAUAUCAACAUGCUCUCAUCGAUCGAUUUUAUAAUUGUCUACUCGGAUUUUUUGAUUUUUUUUUUGAUUUUUUUUUUAAUUUAAACUAAAUCCUAAAUAUCCUAAAGCUAGAAAUGGGUUGCCUCCCAUUCAGCGCUUAUUUUAAGUCUUGAGCUCGACUCGAGGUCCGAUCUGUGUUAUUAUCAGGGAGAAGGCCUAAGUUUAAAGGCCGCUAAUUGGCGGUUUAGCCUAAUAGUGUUUCACUCGUUGACCAUUCACUGUAAAUUCUUCUCCUUUAUCGUUUAUAAGUGUUAUGCAUGGCUCCAUAAUGUUUGACAUCCACAACAGUGAAAGGACCUGACCAGCGAGAUCGAAGUUUUCCGGGAAACAGCAUAAGCCGAGAGUUAUAUAACAGCACUUGAUCAUUUGGUUCGAAGUGCCUGGAGAUGAUCUUUUUAUCAUGAUAUGCUUUCGUUUUCUCUUUAUAGAUCUUUGAACUCUCAUAGGCUAAGUGUCUUAUUUCAUUCAGCUCGUUAAGCUGCAUUAGUCUCCUUUCGGCAGCUAGUUUGAUGUCGAAAUUUAAUAAUUGUAUAUCCCAUGCUGCCUUAUGUUCUAGCUCAACCGGUAAGUGACAGGAUUUUCCAUAGAGUAGGUGAAAUGGGGUUUUUCCUAGUAGGGUUUUGUAUGCAGUUCGGUAGGCCCAAAGUGCAUUGUCCAGUUUUCUAGACCAAUCUUUCCUAGAAGUUCCUACGGUCUUUUCUAAGAUUUCUUUGAUCUGUCGAUUUGAGACUUCUACUUGUCCACUUGUUUGCGGAUGGUAGGGCAUAGCAACUCUGUGGUGAAUUCAGUUCUUCCGGAGUAACCCGUCAAAAACUUUGUUAAUAAAAUGGGAGCCAGCGUCACUUAUGACUAUUCCAGGAACUCCAAAUCUUGGAAAAAUAAUGCUCUUGAAAAGCUUGAUAACUACAUAUGCGUCAUUUGUUGGGGAAGUUACUGCUUCGACCCAUUUUGAUACAUAAUCAACAGCGACUAGUAUGUAUUUGUUCCCGUACGAAGAAGGGAAAGGUCCCAUGAAAUAAAUUCCCCAACAAUCAAAGACUUCUACCUCUAGAAUACAUUUUUGUUCUAUUUCAUGUAUUUUACUGAUUUUCCCCCUUCGCUUGCAUCUGUCGCACUGUGCUAUGAAUGCAUGAGCAUCGCGAAACAUGGUCGGCCACCAGAAUAAUGCCUGAAGAAUUUUAGAUACCGUUUUAAAGGUUGCAAAAUGUCCGGCGUAGUCGGAUCCAUGGCAUUGGAAUAAGAUAUCAGGGAUUUCAGUUUCGGCGACGCAACGUCUGUAUAUCCCGCUAGAGCAAUGUUUAUAGAGAUAUGGCUCAUCCCAAUGAUAUCUCCUAACUUCUCGUAAAAAUUUCUUCCUUGUGUAGCCUCUCAACUCUUCGGGUUCUAUGUCAGCAGCUAAAUAGUUUACUAUAUCAUCGUACCAAGGUCUGUCUUUUAAACCUUGUCCGACUACAUGCACUUCUCGAUGCAGACUUUCAUCUACAGGGGAAUCACAGUCAGGGUACAGCUCGUUGUGCGCGACGUUAACUUUUAUAUCAAAGGUGAGGGUUUUGGGAUUUGUAUCUUCGCUCAGAAUUUCUGAAGUAUCAUCAACAUACUUUCAUCGUCGUCGAUCGACCUGGUAUUGUCGUAAUCGAUCGACAUUGCAUCGUUAUCGUCGAUCGACAGGUCCUCAGAAGUGAGACAUACAUUCCCGAUGAACGAAUCCGUUUGGUAAACGUUUUCAGUUGGUAAAAAAUCAUCGAUAGGGACGUCGUUUUCUAUUCUUAUCCGGGAAAGAUGAUCUGCAACUCCUUUUUCUACUCCACUUUUAUCUUUAAUCUCGAUGUCGAAUUCUUGAAGUAGAAGGAUCCAUCGCAUGAGUCGUGGUUUUGCAUCUUUUUUUUGCAUUAAAUAUUUAAUUGGAGCGUGGUCAGUAUGAACGAUGACUCGCGAACCAACCAGGUAUUGGCGAAACUUUUCAAAUGCAUAAACUACAGCAAGCAGUUUUUUCUUUGUUGUUGUGUAAUUCCUUUGUGCAUCGUCGAGUGUUCGACUGGCAUAGUAAACUGCAUCUAGCUUUUUGUCUUUUCUUUGGCCUAGAACUGCUCCUACAGCGAAAUCGAUCGCAUCGCACAUGAUUUCGGAAGGAAGAUUCAAGUCAGUUUCAUCGAUGAGGUCUACAUGCUCUUCUUCAUUUUCUUCACGUAGAAAGGUCUGACUCUCAUCGGUAAAUCGAACUUGCUCAUCUCCAGUCACAAAAGCAUGAACUGAAUCUGACGUUUCUUUCACCUCAGAUAUCUGGUCUCCAUUCGAAUUCUAGGCCAUCUUCCUCCUCUCGAGAUCAAUCUUCUUGGUACUGGUGCUAGACGCCACAUUUUCAAUGAGCCUCGUAGCUUCUUCAAGUGUCUUGGUUUUGAAGUUCCCUUGACUCGCAACGUCCAAAGUAGCUUGGUAUGUCCAGUCGAGACCUCUGAAGAAAAUAUUAAGUAGCUGGAUUUCGGGAAAACCAUGGUGUGGGCAGUCUCGCUGGUAGGCUCUGGAUCUCAACCAAGAAGCCUUAAAAGUUUCAGUAGUGCCUUGAGAAAAAUUAUAGAUCUUAUUCCAAAAUUCUUCCGUUCGUGCAUCAUCGAAGAAGUUUUUGAGGAAGACACUUUUGAUAUCACUCCAGCAAGUCAAAGAUCCUGGCUGCAAUUGUUUCAGCCAGUGCGUCGCAUCUCCAGCAAGGGAGUGCGGGAAGAGUUUGCAAAAUAGGUAGUCUUCAGAGACUCCAUGCACCUUGAUGUUAGACACAAAGUCCUCAAGUGCUUUGAUAUGGUCUAUGGUGUUUUCAUGAGGAAGACCACGAAAGGGGUGCUGACUUACUAGAGAUAAAUAUUUGAGUUUCAGUUCAAAAUCUUUUCUUUGAAUUGCUGGAGGAUGGAUCGCAGACCUGUUAGUGUAGAACCGAUCAGGUCUGUUGCAAUCUCCAAUAGGAAUUGGAGUAUUCAAAACAAAAGCUAUUCCAAUAGGAAUUGGAGCCCUAUGUCUAUAAUUAAUUUGGUUUGAUGCGUUGCAUACUCGACCUUUUUGAUCUCCUAGAACUACUUUUCCAUUUUGAAAUAGGUAAGAACAUACUUACCUGCUUCCGACAGGAUGGCGUCAAUCGAUAUUGGUAGCGGAGUGUCGAUCGACUUUUCUGUCGACCCGUCGCAGAUGAUUUAUAGGUUUUAAAGCAGUAAAUGAAUUGGUGAGCAAAAUAAUUGAUCGAUUGAUUUGAUUUGAGGUUGUUAACAGUUGGGAGAAUAGCUAGAUUCAGGUAUGUUCUCAGGUAUGAUAAGUAAUACUUAAGUUUGGUCUUUAGGGGUUUAUUGAUAUUAAUUGUUCUUGAAUUCAAAUUAAGAUAUAAUCUAUUUGAUUGUCUAAUCUGGAUCUUGGAUUUCAACUCCCGUAUGUUAAUCACGAGAAAGUGUCGAUCGAUACUUCGUUAUGAAUAUCGAUCGAUACACCUUUCAAAAUAUCGAUCGACAGGGCUAUCGCUGUGUCGAUCGAUACUUCUUCCAGAAUGCUUUACGGAAAGGUUUGAUUUAUAUUCUCUAACUCACUAGACCAAAUUUUGUCUGUAUCUAGUCAGUUAGAUCAUACUAGCUAAUUUCAGGUAUUGAGUCAAGCAAUGGCUUGAUCUCAAUUAAUCCUAAGAUCUAAGUUUAAAAGGUGAUCAAUCCUAAACUUAGCUUUAAGAACAACUAGAUGAAAAACUAUAUUUCUAAACACCCUAACAAUUGUUUGUGUCAAUAAUACAUUUAUCAACCUAUUGAGAAAUCUAAACCUAACGGCAAAGACUACUCAGACAUAUUCAUUUAACACAUAGUUAUGAUGGUCUGAAUAAUACUUAAAUAAAAUAAUAAAAACAGGAUAGGGUAAAGAAACAAAGGGAGUUCAAGAUAUUCCCUCUCUCAAGGAGUACAAAUCUCUCUCUCCAAUCCUCAGCUCUCUCUCUCUUGAAUAGUAUGAAGCAUAGCCGUCAACAAUGGCUUAGAAAACAAUAAAAUAGGGUUUCAGGUCGUCCAGGGGUAUAUUGGUAAUAUGUGGUGACUUAUGGGCCUAAAUUGGUCACGAAACAGGCUUGUCCUGUUGUCUGGGAUCACUGUCGACCGACACCAAUAAUGCAAUAUCGAUCGACAGUCCUUCAUUUUCUCGACAGCUUCCUUUCGCGAGGUAGACUGACCACUCUUCAGUAAAACAGACAUAACUUCUGCUACAGGAUGCUGAUUGACCUCAAACCGGUGGCGUUGGAAAGCUAAUUCAAAACUCUAUUUUUUUGUCAAAAGAUGUGCCCAAUAUAACACUGGUAAGGUCUCCAUACAUAGCUAAACAUCUGAUGCGUCUAUGCAGUUCUGCACCUCAAAAUGCUCCAAAAUCACCAUAUUUCUCCAGAACGUACCUGAACCUGUAAAUACUCUAAAGAGCCUCUAUAUAGUAUUAAGUAUAUAUUAAAACACUUAUAGACCAUGGCUAAGAGUGGGUAAAAUCCAUGGUCUAUCAACCAUCUUCUAGAAAAUGUUUCUCUCUGCCUCUCCAGUUUCUCAAACCGGCGUCCCAGCGUCCGUCACUCAACCUUCGAGUCUCUCCGUUUUGGUCGUAGUAGUCAGAGCAUAGCCUCUGGAUUUCCCCGCUUCUGGGAUUCGCUGAACUUCACGAAAGACAUGGAGUUUGUGGGAAUCACAGUUCUCUUCCUUAAUGAAAAGGUAAGUUAAUCUUCGAUUUAUCACACCUAUUUAACAUAAUUGUUUUAAUUGAUUUCCUGAUUCUUUGUUGAAUAAUAUUAUUUGCAGAUUCCAUGAUUCAUGGGUUUACUCCUGUCGGACGUGCUAAUCAUUACAUGCCAUCUUUGAAAGCAGAUUCCAUUGUAAACGUCGAUCGUUUUGAGGUUCCUAGAUGCUCAAGCAUGUACAAGAUAACUGAUUAUCCAUUCCUCAUUCGUUUCAUCUCACUAACCAUUAUUGAUGAUGUCAUCACGGGUGCUCCUCAGAUCAGUCUCCAGUCAAGAUUAGUCUGUUCGACAAUCUCCAAGUGAUUGCGAACACAAACCUAGAACUCCCAGGUAUAUUAUCAUAUUAUAUAUGAGUUUAUAUUAUGCUUCGAUAUCAUAACUGAUAUUUAAACCCGCAGAUAUGGUUGGGAAAAUCCAAUAUGUCCAGGGCUCUGACCUCACCAAAUAAACAACUCGAGUCGUUAUAUGUCUCCUCAUUGAUCUGUAAGAAACAAUCAACACAUAAUUCCCUUUAUAUUACUGUCUAUAUUGUGCUAACAUCAAUAAUCAAAAAUAUUUCCUACCCAAGAUUUGUGGUCGUCUAUUUAUCUCCAUUACUUAUCAAUCUAAUUUUACACAAAUCUUUAUUUUACAGCUUAAAAGAAACCACAAUAACCCAAACAAUCAAAACACCAAAAACUAGAAUCCCAAAAAAGACGAAUCAUUAAUAAUCACCUCUCUUCUUGUCUAAUCUAACAAAUAAACUUUAAAACAAAUAUACCAAAUCAAUCAACUCAACUAAAACUCAACGACACAUACAUUGAGACAACUAAACAAAUACAAACUACAAGGCCAACUAUUUAACAAUUUACAAACUUACUUUCGCAGAUGCUUACGAAAAAGACGAAGACGACAACCAAGAUCAGUGAAAUUACCUAAACAAAAAACUAGAGUAAGUUACAAACUCUGAUAAAUACAACUAACAAUGAUUUUUGCUUACAUAUUACCCAUCAAAUAAAAGAGAAACAAACACAGCCACACCAGGAGAUACAAGAGACAAUCCCAACAGACACAAAGGCGGCAACAACAUCUCCACAUGCUCACUCCUCUUGUUUUAUGAAAAUAGCUUACAUGCUCAAUGUCCAAUGCUAUUGUCUUCUUAUGAGAAAUACAUAUAUUCGUUUAAAACCAUUAAGUUCCAAAUACUAAUUGUCACUCAUUUUAUAGUUAUUUCUACAAGUCUUCAUGUAUUUGCUUUAAAGGUCCGGUACAAACAACAAGUUUAAAAAUAAAAAAACAUAUAACCAACAUAAUAAGAAUAAAAAAAAAUUAUUACUCAAUACACACAACUUACACAACUAAAUUAGAGAAAAAAUAUCCAAAAACAAAAGAUACUCUCAACAACCUUAAUAUAAUUUAUGUAAUCUAAACAAUACAGGUAACAAAUUAAAAAGACAAACAAACAAUAAGUCUCAGUGAUACAUCAAGCAAUACCACGAACUAUAUCAAUCACAUCAUAACACAGUUUAGUCUUUUAUGAGUGGAGAACAGUGCAUACACAGUUCAUCAUCACAACUCUAACCCUAUAACAAUAAAAAACUUGAAAAACAAUGAUCAACCAGAAACGCAAAAUUUACAGAUACAAUAACGCUAAAAAAUAUUGAGAUGAAACAAUAACUAUGUCCACAACCCCAAGCUUGCGCGGAUGCAAUGCCCCUAGUCUAUAUAAUAUAUUGAAGAGAAAAAGACAAAAAUAGCACUAAAUCAAGUUUUUGUUCCCAAACUAGCACUCAAGAUCAAAAGUCACAAAAAUAGCACUUAAUGUUUUAUCAAAAGUCACAAACUUAGGGUUUAGAGUUAAAGGGUGGGGUUUAGGAUUUAGGGUUUAGGGUUUAGGGUUUAGAGUUUAGGGUUUAGGGUUUAGGGUUUAGAGUUUAGGGUUUAGGGUUUAGAGUUUAGGGUUUAGGGUUUCUUAUCAUUUCUAGCUUUCCAGAUGUACCAAAUUAUCCAAGGAUAAGGGUCUCUAUCAUCUUCUGGCUCCAUAAUACUAUUCUUCCUCCAAAAAAGAUAGUCCAUAUUAGCAUAAAUACUUGGUAGAGGGAAGAUUUGAGGGCUCGAAGGUGUUGAAGAUAAUUCCCAUGCUUGUACGGCCGGUGGACAUUCAAAGAUCGCAUGAGUAACAGUCUCUUCUGGCUCUCCACAUCUUGGGCAAUAAUUAUCACAUCGCAUAUUGCGACGUACCAGAUUCCUCGUUACCGCAAUCUGUCCUGAGAUUAGUUUCCAAAUAACAUGACAAAUCUUUUGUGGCGCAUUCACCUUCCAAGCAAAGGCUUGGCGUUUGGUUAUGCUGGGUUGUAGAACUUCUUUAUCCUUUGUAUCUCUCAUCAAAUUUGUAGCAACCCAGUAUCCAGACUUGACAGUAUAUUGACCAUUCUUGGUGUAACUCCGGCAAAAUGUAUCAUGUCAGUGAGUAGGGCUUAUGGCCAGACUCUGGAUUAUCGGUAUAUCCUCGUGAUCCACAUAUUGUUCCAAUAAUCGAGCAUCCCAAUCCUUUGAUUCAAAAUUAAUAAGGCUGCUGACGGUCAUCUUUGGGUUUACUACUGGGACCCGGGCGCGAGCCGGUCUUGCUGGCAUCGAAGGAAUCCAAGGAUCCUCCCAUACAUUAAUUUCAUAUCCUGAAUGCACUUUGCUUCUGAUACCCAAAACUAAUAGCUUCCUCGCAGCUAUAAUACUCGUCCAUACAUACGAUGGGGUAUCCACUGCGCCAGUUCGCAAUGGCGAACUCAGACGAUAAUAUUUUCCCCAAAGAACUCUCGCCACUAAUGAGUCUGGAAAUUGAACAAGACGCCAAAGUUGUUUAGCCAAAAGAGCUACAUUGAAUUCAUGGAUCAUACGGAAGUCAAUUCCUCCCUCCUCUCGCGGCGCACACAUUUUUUCCCAUUUUGCCCAUUGAAUUCCUCUUUUUGGUGGAUUCGAGCUCCACCAGAAUUGGGCAAUGGCACUUGCUAAGUUCUCAUAUAUCUCCAAAGGAAGCAAGAAACUAGACAUGACAUAAGUCGUAAGAGAUAACAAGAUAAACUUGAUUAAAACUCCCUUUCCUCCCUUAGAUAACCAACGACCAGUCCAACCAUUCACUCUGUGUAAUAGUUUCUCUUUUAAGAAAGCAAAUAGUUUACACUUUGAUCCACUAAUAUCCUCUGGGAUUCCUAAGUAGGAACCCAUCUCGCCUUCGUUUUGAAUACCAAGUGUAUUUUUGAUCUGCUGUCGAUCAUUCGCUGGAAUCCUUUUACCAAAGAGUAAUGAGGAUUUAUCAAAAUUAAUACAUUGGCCUGAUACUUUUCCAUAUUUCCUGACUACUUUCAUAACUUCUUCACAUUCGCACAGAAGAAAAGGCUAUCAUCAGCAAAGAGAGGGUGAGAUACCUGAGGGCUAGCGCGUGCGACUCGCAUCCCCGUUAUCUUCCCUUGAUUCUCUGCUUGAUUAAGAUGGCUAACGAGCACUUCCGUGCAUAGAAUAAAUAUGAAAGGAGACAAAGGAUCUCCUUGACGUAAACCUCUUCCAUGAACAAUGUUUCCCCUUGGUUCUCCAUUCAUGAGGAUUUUAUACUUGACCGAGGUGAUGCAUCUCAUAAUCCAGUCCAUCCAUAUCUCAGAAAAACCCAUCUUUCUCAUGACUUCCUCAAUGAAUGACCAUUACAUCCUAUCGUAUGCUUUGCUCAUAUCCGUUUUUAUGGUCAUUCUCUUUACCCGUCCUCCCGGUUUGGUUCUCAAUGCGUGAAACAUCUCCUGAGCCAUCAUGAUAUUAUCUGUAAUCUGUCUACCAGCAACAAAGGCUGAUUGAGUCUCAGAUAUCCGCUGUGGAAGAACCGUCUUCAAUCUUUGGCAUAAGACCUUAGAUAUUAUCUUAUAACUGACAUUGCAUAGACCGAUAGGUCUAAACUUUGUCAUUUCAUUUGGUUUCGUUGUCUUCGGGAUUAAGCAGAUGUUCGUGUCAUUCAGUCCCUGCACCAUUGAUCCCUCAAAAAGGAAUUGAUUGUACGAAUUAAAUCAUCUUUGACAAUAUCCCAAAACUUCUGAUAGAAAAGAGCUGUCAUUCCAUCAGGUCCUGAAGCUGAUUUGACCUUCCAAUGAGUUACCGGAGCUGUAAAAUCUUCGUUUAUUGCUGCAGUAAUAGUCGUCCAUACCUGACGAAAACAAACAUUGUCGACUUAUAUAAUUGUAUUUAAUGUAUACAGGUUACAUUAUUCGUUUGGGCCCAUUUAAUUAAACCGGGCUUAAUUUAGGGUAAGGCCCAAGCAGUUGUUUACGCCUCUCAAUAUUUAAGGUCACGCUGCGCUGUUCUAAGGGUUUCGUUCGUUACGAAGGAAGAAGAAGAUAAGAGGUUGAAGAAGAUGCCAGGCCCAGUCAUUGAAGAAGUUAACACUGAGGAGCAGUUGAUGGAUGCCAUCAAAGAGCAAAUGAAGCUCCAGGUUCGUUUUCUUCUCUUUCUCUCUAUUGAGGAGCUGUUUCAAUUUCUCGUUGUUUGACGAUUGAUUUUGGGUGGAGUAGAACGACAAUGAUGUCGUUGUCGAGGAUGUGAAAGAUGGAGAGGAAGAAGAUGAUAUUGAUGACGACGAAGACGAUAACGUCGAUGGUAUAUUCCUCUUUUCUAGAUUUGAUUCUCUUCGUUGUGUGUAUUAGUGAUAGAAUCUGUUCUGUUUCUCGGUUGUUGAGUGAUAGAAUCUUUGUUAGUCUCUUCAUUACUGCUUCACAAGGCUUGCUGGUUAUGCGUUGUAUUACAUUUCUUUGGACUUACAAUGAUAAAGAGUUUGGCUUAUGUUGUUGUGUGUGAAGGAGCUGGUCAGAAUGAGAGCUCAAAGCAAAGUAGAAGCGAGAAGAAAAGCCGCAAAGCAAUGCUGAAACUUGGAAUGAAACCUGUCACUGAUGUUAGCAGAGUCACAAUCAAGAGAUCAAAGAACGUAAGAACACACGCCUUUAUUGACAUUUUUUCAAAUAUUUUUUGAACAUCAAUGUUUUUGAUUCUGUGUGUUCUUGCACAUACCUCAGGUUUUGUUUGUCAUCUCGAAGCCAGAUGUGUUCAAGAGUCCCAACUCUGAGACCUAUGUGAUAUUCUGUGAGGCCAAGAUUGAUGAUAUGAGCUCUCAGCUACAAGCCCAAGCUGCUCAGAGGUUCAAGAUGCCUGAUGUUGCGUCUAUGAUCCCAACGCUGAUGCCUCUGAAGCAGUCACUGUUGCACAAGAGGAGGAAGAUGAUGAUGAUGUUGAUGAGACUGGUGUUGAAGCUAAGGACAUUGAUCUUGUGAUGACUCAAGCUGGUGUCUCAAAGGCCGAAGCCGUUAAGGCUCUUAAGACUAAUGAUGGAGAUAUCGUUUCCGCCAUUAUGGAACUCACUACAUAGGUUGAGUUUCAAGGACCCGCGUUGGUCCUCUUUUGUAGUUCACAUGCAUUUCCGAAGCAUUUUUCUUGAACAUUAUUUGUAUUUCCCCACUUUUAAGGCUUAUUUUUCCCUUCCGUGAGCCGUAAACAUAUUUGCUUCAAAGUCUAUAACUGACACAUCUUAUCUUACGCUGUGGACAGUUUAGAAAGAAUGGUAGAGAGUUAUGCUCUUAACAUUCAAGAAUUUGAAUGACAGGACAAAGAUUGAUCAGAAAGUUGAUGCACUAUUUAGCAUUCAAAGCCAGAUUCGCAUACACAUACAGAGGACUCAUUGCAAUCUAGUCUACAUACACUUUUCCUAGCAAAACUUCUCUAGCUCAGUAACGUAGCAUAGUUGGUUCAGUUUCUCAUGUAAAAGAAAAUUAUGUAGUUUUAGGUAAAAACUUUUUUUUUCACAGAGCUAAAGAUAUUAAUAUUAAGAAAGUUGUUACUUUAAAAAAAAAUAUCAUAUAUCAACUAUUUUUUUAAAAAAUACAUAAUUUAAUUGGUCACAAUAUCUAAAAAGUACAAAAGUGGUAUUCAAAUGUGAAAAAUACUUCUAAAACUAUUUAUACUAUGAAAAAUAUGAGUAUUAAACAUGUAUUAUUUUAAGACUUAUUAUUGGGUUCACUAACCAAUAGAAUUGUGUUCUUUCAUAUUUGAUAUCUUAAAAAAAAACAAACUAUUGUCAAGUUAUAUAUUAUGUUUUUAAAAUAAAAAGGUAAGAAAAUAAAUAAUAAUAGUAGUUACAAUUUUUUUUUUUGUAAAUAUAUAUCUUUAACGUUGUCAGCAAAACAGUAAACCAUAAAUCCUAAAUCUUCAACCUUUGGGUAAACCGUAAUCCUUUUGAUAAAUCGUAAACGCUAAACACUAAAACACUAAACCCCAAACCUUAAAUCCUAAACCCUUGGGUGUUUUAGUGUUUAGUGUUUUUGAUUUAGAGUUUAGUGUUUCCGACGAAUUAACCUCGAAAUACGUUUCGUUGUAAAACGUCCGUCGUAACGGAGAUUUCGUCGUAAACGACUUGUUACGUUUACGAUGACAUAAAUUCUUCGUAAAGCGCAGGGCAAGGUUUCGUCGUAAACGAGAUGUAACUUUUCGUGGUAAACUCCACGUAACUGUUUCGUUGUAAAGCAGACGUAAAUACUUUCGUUGUAAAGAACACGUAAACAUUUCGAUGUAAAAUCUUCGUAAAUCUUUCGACGCUAAUCACUCGUAAACAUUUACGUGAAGUUUACAUCGAUUCUUAUUGUUAAUAUAUAUAAUAAAUUUGAAUUUAUUUAAUAUUCGAAAUUUAAAACAAUUUAAAUUUUAAAACGAAAUAUGAAAAUGAAAAACAUAUUUUAAAAAAAGCAUUUAAAAGUCAUACAAUAAUAUUUAAAUUCAUAAUACAAACAGAAAUAUAAAAAAAACUACAUAUCCUCGAAGUAGUCGGUGGGGUUGCUCGGCUGUUGACGGGUUGGAUCGGACUCUUGGGGAUCUCGUACUUGCAACCCAAGAGCGACUCGUCUCUCACUCAACAUUCUCUGCAUAACCGGGUUUUUCACGGCCAUCACGUCUAACAAAUCUUCAAGAGAGACUAAACGAACCUGAUGGCUAUCCAUUCGAGCUUUCAUCUGAGAAGCUUCGUAAAGCGCAGGGCAAGGUUUCGUCGUAAACGAGAUGUAACUUUUCGUGGUAAACUCCACGUAACUGUUUCGUUGUAAAGCAGACGUAAAUACUUUCGUUGUAAAGAACACGUAAACAUUUCGAUGUAAAAUCUUCGUAAAUCUUUCGACGCUAAUCACUCGUAAACAUUUACGUGAAGUUUACAUCGAUUCUUAUUGUUAAUAUAUAUAAUAAAUUUGAAUUUAUUUAAUAUUCGAAAUUUAAAACAAUUUAAAUUUUAAAACGAAAUAUGAAAAUGAAAAACAUAUUUUAAAAAAAGCAUUUAAAAGUCAUACAAUAAUAUUUAAAUUCAUAAUACAAACAGAAAUAUAAAAAAAACUACAUAUCCUCGAAGUAGUCGGUGGGGUUGCUCGGCUGUUGACGGGUUGGAUCGGACUCUUGGGGAUCUCGUACUUGCAACCCAAGAGCGACUCGUCUCUCACUCAACAUUCUCUGCAUAACCGGGUUUUUCACGGCCAUCACGUCUAACAAAUCUUCAAGAGAGACUAAACGAACCUGAUGGCUAUCCAUUCGAGCUUUCAUCUGAGAAGUCUCUUCAUCCCGUCUCGAAGUGUAUGACGAAGUUGGCCUUGCAACUUCGUUAACAGAGCCUAUACCGACUAUCCGUCCCUUCUUUUUAGGAGCCACCUAUAAAAUCAAAACAUAUAUUAAUAUAGUUAAUUAUGUUAAAAUAUUUAAAAUAAUGUAAACUAAAAUUUUAAGUUACCUCUUCGAAGAUUCUGUCGACCUCUUCGGUGGACAAUGUGACUGGUAAUCCAUCGGGAGACUCCUGGGUUAGUUGCGUCUCCCGUUCUUCAAUCCGACCAGCCACUGUUUGGAAGAGUUUCUCAGAUGCAGGAUCCACAAAAACUCCGUCGGAUGUGGCGUGAGUCAUCUUGAAUAGGUCAGACAGAGAAGGUAAGACUCCCGUCUUCUCGAACUACAAAAAAAAUUAAAUUAAAUAUUAUAAAUUAUAUUAAUUGAAUAUUUUAAAAUAUAUAUUUAAAACAAAACUUACAGCUUCUAGACGGAUUCCUACAUGAGGUUUUUGUCCGGUUCUGUGAAGCAUGGGCAAAUGACCAUCUCUAUUCUUCGUCCUUCGAGAAGUCGAGCACGAAUUGACCUUUUUGAUCGAAGAGGGGUGCUCCCAAUAGGCGAUGAGGCCAUCCCACACAUCCUUCGUGAUCUCAGUGGGCUUUCCCUCAUACCCGUAGAUCUCCCACUUGUCAUUCCAAUCGGAGACUGUGUUGCAGAGGCGGAUCUUUGCCUUUGCAACGAAUUCCGCCUUCACCCUCUCGGUGAUUCCCAAAGACCAAUGCCACUUUUCCUGAAACACAAAAUUUUUGAAAAAUUACAAUUAAUAAUAAAUAUUAAAAUAUAUAUAUAUAUAUUUAAAAGUGAAAAUUUAAUUAAAUUUAAAAAUCUUACCGCAAAACAUUUAAACCAAGUGAUCUUAACGUGAUUUGGUGUCUUGCUCCAGUUCGGAUAUGCCCCGUCGUAGUAACCCUUAAUCGUCGCCGAAACGCUCCGGCUAACACGGUUGUUAGCCCCAAACCUGAAAAAAAAAAAAAAUUUAACUGUUAGAAAAUUAAAAUAAUUUAAAUUUUAAUGUAAUAAAAAUUAAUAACUUACCAAUAAGUUCCUCGGGGUCUAUCGGGGUCUAGAACAUCCAAACCCUUCCGUCCAGGCUGGGCAAGCAAAUCCUCCACCGUAUAUCUCGCGAAUGGAGCAUAUGAAGGCACACGCAAAUCCGGAUGAACUGCACCUUCUGGGACAGGCUGAGGUGCAGCCGCUGGAGGAGGAGGUGGAGGCAUCUGCGGUGGAAGAGGAGGAGUCGAAGAAACUCUCUAAGAAGUCUGAGAGUCUGGAACAGCAUCGGAAGACGAUCGACCGGAAGAAGAUGUACCGGAACCAUCACCAAACAACUGGGCAUAAGUAGGUGCUGCUGGUUUCCUCCUAUGAGCCAUCUAAAAAAAACUUAAAAUAAAUUUAAUCAAUUACGACAUAGUUAAAAAAUUAUUCUGUUACCUAACUAAUCACCUAAACUAUAGUAUUCCGUCACCUAACUAAUCACCUAAACUAAUUACCUAACUAAUCACCUAAACUAAUUACCUAACUAAUUAAUCACCUAAACUAACUUUAAAAAAAUAGAAGAGGAAAGGGAGUGUACCUUAGAGGGAGAGCAAAGGAGUUUGGGAGGAAUGAACGAGGCAGCCUCGCUCUCGGCGUCUCAAUAUAUAGAAAACGUUUUGUCGUAAACGCGACGUAAUAUUACAACGAAGUUAUCAGAUCCGCGUUUUUCCAUUUACGACGAAAUUACGUGAAAUUUCGUUUACGACGAAGUUACCAGGCCCAUCUUUUUCCAUUUACGACGAAAUUACGUGGAAUCGAUUUAACCAUUUACGACGAAGUUACCAUGCCCGUAUUAUUUUUACAACGAAUUUAGAACGCUUAACCCUAAACACCGAGAAUGAAAUCCCUAAACCCCAAAGUCACAUAUCAUCUAACAUCAUAUCUUCUUCUCUACUACUUCUUGCUCUUUCUCCAACUUAAACUCUAAAACCCUAAAACUCCAAAUAAUUUUUUUAAAAUUAACACAACUAAAAUGAAAGGCUCAAAUUUGUUGUAUCUUCUCCCAAAAUUGACAUCCACAACACCAAAUUUGUUAUACCGAAUCCCUCGGUUCACAACAGGAUCGAACCAGUCACAUUUGAAGAGGACGCAUUUUAGCUUCAAUAACCCCGAAAAUUCCACUUCAAUAAUCUCAUGCAAGAUCCCGUAAAAGUCUGUUUCACCUUUCACACAUAUUCCGUAGUUACUCGUUGCCCGAUGUCUCCCAUACUCGUAUGUGUGAAAGGUAAAUCCUCGUGUGAAAUACAUAGGUGAUGUGGUGACCUUUGCAACUGGACCUUGAACCAAUUCGUGAAACCAUACGGGAUAAUAAGGAUCGUCAUAAUCAACCUGCCAAAAGCAGUUAUUCUUAAUUAAUAUUGAAGUAUCAAAACACUUAAUUAAUUCAUCAAUGUAUGAGAUAUAUUAUGUACCUGUGAUUUUAACCACUUGACAAAGUGCUUAUCUUUACGUGUGUCCACAUCAGUUGCAGAUAUUCCUUGUAUUGCUUCUUCAAGUCAUACAUAAUUAACUUCAAUUCAUAUAAUUAACAUUCACAAAAAUAUUUACCUUUCAAAGUAACGGGUCACUGCAUCCUCGCAGUUGAGCAGAAUAUAAGUGUGGGCACUAUGUUUAUCCUCUUCACAUGACCACCAUACUUCUUUCGUUUUACCACCAAACCGUGCAAUUUCGCAGAAAAUGUCAGGAACUAAAAUGUCAGGAACACCGUCAAUUGGAUAUGAUGUCGGUACUCCACCAUCAUCAUAUCUUCUAGGAACUCUUUUUCUCGUACGAACAGUUGGAGCAAAGUAGCAUGAUGUGAAGUUAGAUGUUUCGGCUGUCAAACUCCCCGCGACUAUUGAACCUUCCACCUUUGCAAGAUUUCUUGCUUUCCCCUUCAAAUGUUUCAUCUGUCGCUCAUACGGAUACAUCCAUCCGUUGUGAACAGGUCCACGAAGCAAUGCUUCAUACGGUAGGUGGACAACUAGAUGCUCCAUGACGUCAAAAAAUGAAGGAGGAAAUAUCUUCUCCAGGUUGCACAAUAUGAUCGGAAUGUUAUGAUGAAGUUGUUCGAUGACUUCUUCCUUGAACGUACGUGUGCUGAGAUCUCUGAAAAAAGCGCCGAUGGCUGUAUAUUGCAAAAGUAAUCAAAUUAAUAACAUUUCAUAACAUAUGUAUAUAUAUUAACGUUUUAUAAUUACCUGCAAGUGCUUCAUGGACAUUUGCUGGAAGGAGCUCGGCAAAAGCAAAUGGAAGUAGUCGUUGCAUAAACACAUGACAAUCAUGACUCUUCAUUCCGGAGAACUUUUGACCUCGUUCAACACAUCUUGACAGAUUUGAAACAUAACCAUCAGGAAACUUAACUUCUGAUGCAACCCAGUCAAACAAGGUUGUUUUGGCUUCUGAUGACAACCGGAAGAUGGGAACAGGAACGUUUCCAUUGCUCUUGAUAUGUAACUCACUUCUUGAGCAAAUAUCAGGUAAGUCCAUCCUUGACUUUUUGUUAUCUUUUGUCUUCCCAGGGACGUUAAGUAAUGUAUUCAUGAUGUUCUCAAAAAAGUUCUUCUCAAUAUGCAUGACAUCCAGAUUGUGGCGUAAGAGAAGAUCCUUCCAAUAGGGUAGCUCCCAAAAUAUACUAUUUUUAUGCCAAUUGUGAGAGACACCAUACCCAUCAGACAUAUUUCCAGGAACAUGCCAAUUUCCUCCAACCUUAACUGUUUCCUGAGCUCCGUAAUAAUCAAUGUCUGCUUCGAUCUGCUGGCCGGUGAGAUAUGGAGGAGGACCGUCUCUGACAAUUUUUUUGUGCCGAAACAAUGUCUUAUUUCUUCUGUACGGAUGGGCAAGUGGAAGAAAGCGACGAUGACAGUCAAACCAACAACUCUUCCUACCAUUCUUCAGUUGAAAAGCAUCCGUCGAUCCAAGACAAUAUGGACAAGAUAAUCUUCCAUGUGUUGUCCAGCCAGACAACAUCCCAUAAGCAGGGAAAUCACUUAUCGUCCACAGCAGAACUGCUCGCAUCGUAAAAUUGUUUUUCAAGGAACAAUCGUACGUCCUCACCCCUUCUGACCACAAUUGCUUUAGGUCUUCUAUCAACGGUUGAAAAAAACAUCAAGAGACCGUUUUGGAUGCUUCGGCCCAUGGAUUAAUAUGGUCAAAAUUGAAAUUAUUGUUCCAUGCACAUAUCCGGCAGUAAAUUGUACGGCGUAAGAAUGACUGGCCACAAAGAAUAUUGUCUACCAGACAUUCCAAAUGGACUAAAUCCAUCGGUGCAUAACCCAAGAUAGACAUUCCGAAUAUUUGUAGCAAAAUCUGCGUGUACCUUGUUGAAAUGUUUCCACGCUGUUGCGUCUGAUGGAUGUGAAACCUUACCAUCUCUCUGGACAUGUUCCGCAUGCACCUCAUCAACGCAGCAGUCCUCUCAAAUUGAUAUAAUCUUUUCAAUCUGUCUGUAAUUGGUAGGUACCACAUCCUUUGGUACGGUACCCUAUUCCUCCCACGGCCUUGCGGUUUGAAUCGUGGUUUUUUGCAGAAUCGACACUCUUCUAACUUGUCAUCUUCUUUCCAGUAGAUCAUGCAGUUGUCGAUGCAAACAUCAAUCAUCUCCGAAGGCAACCCAAGACUAUAAACCAAUUUCUGAAUCUCAUAAUAAGAUUCAGCAGACACGUUGUCUUCUGGCAAAUACUCUUUAAACAACUCCGCCCAUGCAUCCAUGCAAUUCUCAGGUAAAUUAUGAUCCGUUUUAAUAUUCAUCAUCCUAGCUGCUAGAGACAAUUUAGAGAGACCUUCUCUACAACCAGUGUAGAUUGGUUGAUUUGCAGCAUCUAGCAUUUCAUAAAACCUUUUUGCAUCCAAAUUAGGUUCUUCUACAUUUCCAGUUCCAUCAGCUAUUGUUGUAGUUGUUUCUAAAAAUGCAUCACUAAUCAUAUCUUGAACCCUAUCAUGAUCUACCAUCUGCUCAUGAUCUUGAUGAUAAUUAUAUUCAUUAUGCAAAUGAUUCGGUUCUUCACUAUGAUGACCAUCCUCAAAAUUAUUAUUACUACUACUAGCUUCAUUUCCCCCAUAACCCUCUCCAUGUUGAUACCAAAUGUAGUACUGUGGUGUAAAUCCUCUGUUUACUAAAUGCUUCCAUACAGUUUCACUACGUGCAAAUUUUGAAUUCUUGCAUUUCCGACAGGGGCAGAACAUCUUACCGCUUUCCUGUGUGAUCGGUGUACAGCCCGCCUGGUGCAUGAAUGUCUCUAGCCCGCUCAGAAAUGCGUUCGUCACCCUCCCGUCGGAAUCUUUGUGCAAAUACAUCCAACUCCGUAACUCGUAAAUACUACCGCCACCGGCCAUUUUUUUCUUAGAUUUUUUUUUGAAAUCUUUUUUUUUCUGAUUUUUUUUUGGGAUUUUUUUUCUCCCGUUUGUGUGUUGUGAGGAAGAGAGUUGUGGGAAAUGACAUAUAUAUAGAGAAAUUUUCGAGUUGGGUAGUUGAAAUAUAACAACGAUUUUACAAGGAAUAUUUUACAUGGAUUUUACAUGGUUUUAACAUAUUAUUUACAACGACUUUACGACGAAAUUAGGUAAGUUAAAGCACAUUGAAUACACGUUUUCACCUAAAUAUAACGGUAACAUGUUUCGUUGUAAUGUCGAUGUAACGAUUACGACGUAUUUCUCAUUCCACGUACUUUCGUCGUAAACUUACAUGGACUUUACGACGAAAAUAUUUCCUCGUAAAUUUACAUGGAGUUUACGGCGAAAUUUGGUCUCCUCGUAACUGCGUUGUAAACACCAUGUAAAUUUACGAGGAAAUAUUUUCGUCGUAAAUCUUCGUUGUUAUGGAAACGUUUUCUUGUAGUGAAUUUCUAUUUCUUUUUUUCGUUAAUGAUACAUGUAUUUCGAAUAUUAACUAUAUGAUUGAAUUCUAACAAAAAUUUACGAAAUAUAUAUCACCAACUAACAUAAGAUAUUUUUAUUAUUUACAUGUUCAUUUCCUAUAUAUACAUGUCAAAAUUUGUUUUUAAUAUAUACAAAAUAAGUUAACUCGGUUCAAAAUUACCAAAAAUUUAGAUAAUAUUAUGAAAUUUAAAAUAAAAUGAAUUGUACCAGAAUAAAUUUUACCUGAUAUAUUUUUAAAUGAAAUGUAAUUCUUUCUAAAUUGAUAUUACAUAAAUAUUCUUAAUAUAUGCCCUUACAAAACUAUAAUUUUACAUAAAUAGUGAUUGAGUGGUAUAGUGGUUGCUCUAGCUUGGUUUCGAUGCCUUGUUCAACUAAUUUUUUUUUUCCUCAAAUUGAAAUUUAUAUAUAAACGAAACCAACAUACAUCUACAGAAGUUCAAAGAUGACAUACCAUCUGGAUCACAAAAACCAAUCAGCCUCUAACCCCUACCAAGAGCGCUAAACCUCCCAAAAACCUUCAACCUCCAGAAUAACCAAACAAAAUAUACCCCCUUUACUCUAAUUGGCAAGAGAUACUUUUUUCAUUUACAAAAAAAAAAUUUCAACUAAUUUUAAAGUAAAUGUUUUUAAUAACUAUUAUUUUUUUCAACAUAAAAGCCACGUAUUAAUCUCUGGUAGACAAGUAAGCCAAUAGUAACCGACAACUUAUAUUUCGUUACUUUUGACUAAAUGUCAAUUAGUCAAUGUAUUUGAAAACUGUAUUUUUUUAGUUGGCGUAUUGAAUGUGAAUUAAUUAAGUGUUGGUGUAUGUAUCUGGACAGCUCAUGUGUACAUGUACUGAUUGAGAUCGUUGGAUUCUGUUGACGUAGAAAUUAACCGAUUUUCCUAGAGUACAUACAUAUCCAGGUUGUAGUACAGGUUUUGCUUUCCAAUGGACAAACUCCCACCUUAUUCAUCGGUUCAACACUUAGAGAACGAUUUAGAGAGGUUUACUUGCUUGAAACUGAAGAACAUGAAAAACAAGAAAGAGAAGGAAAGAAAUGAUUUCCUUAAUUUUUAUAUUGGUGGCUAAAAGAUUAUUAGUAGGUUUAUUUUUCUAGAGCAACCAAAAUAAUUGAAGUUACUAUUCACGGAGUUACUGUUUAUUUUAAGUUUCUUGAACUCUCUUAAACUCUUUUGAACUCUCUUCUCUUGUUAUUUAUCACUUCAUGUCAACAUUGUAUACACUCCACAUUAAAUCUUCGAUUUUUCUUACAACAGUAAUUUUGUUUUACACAUCAUAAAAUGUUGCAAUACAAAUUAGAAAAAAAAAAAGAACUUCUCAUGUUUUAUUCUAUUAGUAUUUAGUUUUGCGUCAAGUUUUCAGUCGUUUUUAAGCAGCUACAUGACACUGCAUGCAUUGACGUUAUCGUCAUUAAACAUAUUACUAACCCUGUCGUCUCCACGACUACCUACGGGGAUAUUACCAUGUUGUUCCGUACCAUUGUAACCAUGUCUGUAAUAGUUAUAACUCUCUUUAAACUCUUUUGAGGGAUCAACAAAAUAGUUUUGAGUAGAUGUGAAGUAAAGUGGAGGCUCAGGGUAUGGCCAAAACUCAGCUCUCUUCCCGGCUCGUCUCACGGCUUUGAGCACUUUGUUUCUGUCUACGUAUCCCACCACUCUCACUCUUCCCAUCUCUCUCUCCACCUCUACUGAAUCAACUCCUGUGAUUUCAACCAAUUUCAUUAAAUAUAACCUUGUCUUUAACAAGAGAGCUUAUUAACUGAUUACGUACAGUGUAACAUCAAUUAAUGAAUAUCUGAUAAAUUAAUAAUAUUUAAUUCUGGAUUAAUUUCUUGAUCCAAAUAAACACAACAUAAAUUAAUAUUUCUCUAAAUUCAAUAAAAUAUAAGAGUUCAUAUUUUUAUAAAUUAAUAUAAAAUAUCAUGGAGUGGUUUUAUGUUUUUUUUUUUAAUGGGUGGCUUUAUGCUUGUGGGUUUAUUUUGUUACCUCGGAGUUUUGAGAUCUUAGAGAACGAUUUAGAGAGGUUUACUUGCUUGAAACUGAAGAACAUGAAAAACAAGAAAGAGAAGGAAAGAAAUGAUUUCCUUAAUUUUUAUAUUGGUGGCUAAAAGAUUAUUAGUAGGUUUAUUUUUCUAGAGCAACCAAAAUAAUUGAAGUUACUAUUCACGGAGUUACUGUUUAUUUUAAGUUUCUUGAACUCUCUUAAACUCUUUUGAACUCUCUUCUCUUGUUAUUUAUCACUUCAUGUCAACAUUGUAUACACUCCACAUUAAAUCUUCGAUUUUUCUUACAACAGUAAUUUUGUUUUACACAUCAUAAAAUGUUGCAAUACAAAUUAGAAAAAAAAAAAGAACUUCUCAUGUUUUAUUCUAUUAGUAUUUAGUUUUGCGUCAAGUUUUCAGUCGUUUUUAAGCAGCUACAUGACACUGCAUGCAUUGACGUUAUCGUCAUUAAACAUAUUACUAACCCUGUCGUCUCCACGACUACCUACAGGGAUAUUACCAUGUUGUUCCGUACCAUUGUAACCAUGUCUGUAAUAGUUAUAACUCUCUUUAAACUCUUUUGAGGGAUCAACAAAAUAGUUUUGAGUAGAUGUGAAGUAAAGUGGAGGCUCAGGGUAUGGCCAAAACUCAGCUCUCUUCCCGGCUCGUCUCACGGCUUUGAGCACUUUGUUUCUGUCUACGUAUCCCACCACUCUCACUCUUCCCAUCUCUCUCUCCACCUCUACUGAAUCAACUCCUGUGAUUUCAACCAAUUUCAUUAAAUAUAACCUUGUCUUUAACAAGAGAGAUUAUUAACUGAUUAUGUACAGUGUAACAUCAAUUAAUGAAUAUCUGAUAAAUUAAUAAAAUUUAAUUCUGGAUUAAUUUCUUGAUCCAAAUAAACACAACAUAAUUUAAUAUUUCCCUAAAUUCAAUAAAAUGUAAGAGUUCAUAUUUUUAUAAAUUAAUAAUAUAACAUCAUGGAGUGGUUUUAUGUUUUUUUUUUAAAAUGGGUGGCUUUAUGCUUGUGUGUUUAUUUUGUUACCCCGGAGUUUUGAGAUUGCCUUCCUAACGAUCCUGACACAACCAGUGCAACACAUCCUGACCUUGAGAUCAACCGUCUACGCGAAGGACCAACACAAAGCUUUAGGUUUCGUAUGAGAAACUUUGGAUGUAUACAUGAAAACUAGAAUUUCUGUCAAACGGAUUAACAGAAUAUAUAGAAACCAGGUAGGGCAUAGGAAUUGUCAUUUAAUGGAGCACAUUUAACAAAAGUAAGCUAAUCCGUUCUGCAUAUACUCAAAUAAAACAAAUUCAUCGAAAGCUAAACAAAUUAAAUGAUCCAGCAAACACCGUGGACAUCAGUGGUCUCGCCUUUUAUGUGUCCUAUUGGUUCUACAAUUAUUACUGAAAUAGUACAACAAUUCUAGCUAGAACCAACCAUUGUUAUAUGUUUAUUUACGAUAUAUACCACCAUAUGGCAAAAGUAUCAUUAUAAUGUAUAUAUUUUAUUUCAUCAUUAUCAUUCCAAACCAAACUGAAUGGAAAGUAUUUUGAUUCUAACUCCGUACAAAAUUUCUAAAUGAAGCCGAAACGAAUUGAAAAAGGAAAAAAAAGCCAGUGCCUAUAUUGCGAUUGCGUUAGAGGCAACAAUGGGCUUGAUUUCAAAGAGAGAAAAUAACCUGCAAAGAAAGUGGGCGUUUCUUAGACAUCCUGAAGUAGCUGAUAUGUGUGGUGGGUCUUGUAUUAGACUUAGGACGGCGUCGGAAAGAGAAAAAUCUUGCUACAAUAGAGACAAUGGACCCGAGACUCUUUGCUAUAAAAGUAGACAUCUAUGAUUGAUUAUUGUUUCUGGAAUAUACCAUAGAAUAUCGGAUUCAAUAUAUACGUGAGGGUAAAUAUGAAUGCUUGGGAGGUAGGAGAAGCUGAGACACAUUUCGACAUGAGUAAACAAGAGACUAACUAAACUACGGAAAGAAUAUGUAGAAAUUGAGAUGGAGAUGUUAGGUAAAGCAAAGUAAGCAGCUUUUUAUUGUUACAUCUCGUGAUCUCUCGAACACACGUCGACGCUAUUGCUAACUCGUGUUCUUUUAACUUCUUUUCAUAAAAUAAUAUUGUUAAGUUGUUUUAAUAAGCAGGGAUCGGCCUUAUGACAAGGAAAAGUAUAUGUACACGUUCAUAUAUAAUAACUAACUUAAAAUACAGUAUUGAUAAAAAAAAAUUUAAAAUACAAUGAAAAAAAACUAUUCCCAGAGUUAAAGAAAAGUGCUAGGUGCUAGGUGACGAUGACUCAACGUCUAACACCUAAAACUGUCUAAAACGAUUAAUUGGACGUCACUAUUAGUUAAAUAGUUUAAGCGUUUAAAAAAUAUAAUAAUAAACUAAAUAUAUAAUAUAUAAUAUUAAAUAUUAUUAUAUAAAAAUGAUAAAAUUCAUAGUAUUUUAUUUACGUAAGAUUCUAUAUUAUAAUAUAUAAAUUACUAUAAUUUAUAAAUAAUAAAUCAUAAUUAUUUUUAUUAUAAUAUUAUAUUUGUUUAGAUUUUUUUUGGCCUAAAUGUUAAGUUUUAUACCAAAGUUUUAAGUUUUUGACAAAAAUUACAAAGAAUACUAGUAGCAGAAAAGACCGUAAACCUAAACACCAAGAAGAAAGAAGAAGCAACAUUAGAGGAUCAAAAGACAUAACAUUAACAUAUAAACACAAGCACACAAAACACUAGCAGAAGGAUAGACCUGCCGAUACUGCAGCAUUGCCAAAUGGGUUCGGAGCCUUUGAUAAAAUAUGAGACCACGCUCGGUAGAAAUCGGCUUGCCCAAAGCGCUACUCCAAAAGAUCGACACCGACCACACGCAGCUUUUCAUAGACGGGCUGAAGGAAUCACAAGCCACCAGCCACCACCGGUAGAGGAGCCUGAGACCCGAGCUAAGAACCUCCACUUGCAUCAAGCACACUAGAGCGCCAAUCUGGCUUGACGUCCCAAGACCACCAAAAUCACAAUUAUUAUGCUCGGCUUCGGAACAUAAUGCGAGCAGAUGCAAGAAGACAGGGAGCGAUGAGAGCCACAUCCUGAGCCGCUCGCCCAAACCUAUAAUAUAGAGAUAGAAGCGACCUGAGAAUGGAGCUGGGAUGGCCAAUCAGCACACGCGAGUCUCCUUCAAGGAAAUAGAGCUCCGAGACUCAAACGGAGGUUUGAAACCUUGCCUCGCGCUCACACCGAGAACCGAUGGGAGCUCUAUAAAGCCUCGUCGGAGAGACAUCAACGGAGGAGACCGUUGAGAACCCCGAAGAAACGGAAAGGAGAAGGCAUCACACUGAGCAUAUGUGAUGUAACAGCACAAGAGCGACGAGAAACGUGAAGAGAAAGAAAUAGCGACUACCGGAGAGUUCUAGGCGCAGGUCAUAGACGGCCCAGCCCAGAAACAAUCCGACGACCGCACACGACAACCACCGCAGACCGGCAACCAUACAGCAACCGGAACCACAACAGACGCGCCUUAAGAAAGAGCCCCAAAGUACCACUUGACUUGGCCGGAUGGAGAAUGAGGCGCCUCACUGGACCCCAAGCAAAGACAGAACUCCGACGACACCGUACCACUUCCACUCCACUCCAAAACGAUAGCUUGAAGGCAAGACCACCGGAUCUUAAAAGAGGAGCCUUACAACCACGUUCACGCGCUCCCACCGCCGGCAGAGGACCAGAUCGAGAAAAAUGAAAACCUCAUCCAAUCGCCGCCGCCGAACCCUUAAAACCGACUCCGUUCACUCACAGCCCACCCCGCCGCACCGACACACCAGACCAGGAUCCACCAACCGCAGACAGAACGAACCAUGCCAGAGGACCAAACCAGAACACCGAUCAAGACGACGGAGAAGAGGAAUAUGAGAGAAACGGAGCAAAAUACAAAGAGGAAGAGGAGAGGGAUCCCGACUACCACGCGCGCCACCGCCGGUCGCCAGAGCCGGUGGAGACGUCAAAGAGGGAGGAACUCUGAGGAGAGAGGAUGGAGAAAAGUUUUGAGGAGAGAGAAAAAUACCGCAAACAUUUUGUUUAGAUUUUAGAUGGUUUACAAGAUAAUCGCCACAGUUUUGGAGGACCUAGCACCUAGAUACUGUCUAAAGCGAUUUUUAAAACACUAUGUAAACUCCAACACAAGAUUUAAGGUCAGUAACACUAAACCAGACGAAGAAAACAAAAUGAACAACAUAAAUGAAGUGUAAGGCUUGUAUUGAAUAACACAUACAAGCGUAUAUGGUCAAUCUCAAUUCUAGAAUGAACAUAAAAUCAUUUGAAAAUAGUAAUUAAGCAAACGUUCUGAUCAGAAACGUCGAUUAAAAUAAAUAGCAUCAAAAACUAAAAUUUGGUAAAGUAAAUGAAAACGCUAAUCACAACUUAAAAGCAUUAAAACAAGGAGAAGAGCAUAGGAGACAUAAUUCAGGACUCACCAAGAAAAAAC
rnacentral:lncRNA from 1 species